UUUAAUAGUUUUUGGACACCAGUGGAGCUCCAUGGCACAGAAGAAUUAGAUACAUCAGGCUACAAUACUUGUUAGUAGUAGUGAUUCAUUGUUGGGUUUGGUUUUGUUUGUAUAAUGUGUUUAACACAUAUUUCUUUUAUAUGCACUUCUUUAUGUAUUGCUGGGGUGGCUGUAUUGUUUUGUGUGUGGGGGGGUUUCUCAUUCACAUAAUUCAUUAAUAUUGGCCUUUUUUUCUCUAGAGCCAGCCUCUAGUGGCCAGUAAAGAAACUGCAGUUAACAACGCUUCAUUAAUUAGUUCCAACAAUCAGCCAUGCUGGUUAUUGAGACUCACAACAGACGACUCCGACCUGCAACAAGAGGAUCAUGAGACCGACGAUGGUGAUGCUACCAACUGAACACUGUUACAACAAGACAAGCUACCACGCUAUUGAAAACUAGCCCACUGAUGUCUUCGACUGUCUCCGUCUGUCACGUGAUCCUCCCCCUGAAGGUCGUAGUUGUCCGUCGGGAGAGAGCAGGGAGCCAAGAUUGAGGCCCACUGAGAUGAGCUGACCAUAAAGAGGAUUAUCCUAUGGAUACUGGACAAUAUGUUCCCCUUUAAUCCAAAAUUUCCUCACAAGUAAACAGCAAACUUUCUCCUCUUUUCUUUUCCUUUUUGCAUGUGUUUUGGUUUUUGGCUCUUUUUCUUUGUGUGCGCUCUGACAGCUCAGAUUAGCUGUCAGAUCUCUACAGGCAGGAUCUGUGGAGACCGGCGGCGCUGCUGCUGCUGUUGUGAUGCUGAUUAGCCACCAAGUGGCGGUAUGAAGCCAGAAACACUCAGCAGGGCAGCGGGUUCACCUCAUGCUGGAUUUCUAACAAGCAGGAAAGAUCAGGUUUUUGUUUAACCCUUUGCUGUGCUUGAUGUGAAAAAAAUCAGCUUUUACUGCUGAAUAUACGACCAGAAGGAUCAAACCUGGACUGCAAAGAGGACAUUUAAAGAAAACAGAUCUAUUGUGUGUGAUUACAUUUAAAAAAAAAUGCUCUGUUGCAAGACAACAGUUAUCGAUCUAGUGUUGCAGUUUUUUUUCAGUUGGAUUCCAGUAAAUGUUACUGGCGUGACAUUUCACAUGUGUUGCCAAAGCUUGAUAACAGUGUCGGAAAAAAAGAAAACAACAUUUAAAUACCAGGAAUUAAUAGAACAAAACAGACUUUACUGAUGUAAGAGAGGCUAAAUCAGUUCAAAAGUCCUUUUAUAUUAUAGGAUCCUGAUAGUAAAUCAUGUGGCAGCGAAUGUAAGAAAACUCCUCCUUGAUGCUAUUAGCCUGAGGCUACUCUGCAUUAGCGCUGCUUUACUGGACGUAACAGAAUAGAACCGAGAAUAGUGAGUCUAUUUCCAGUCAAAUCCCUGAACGCUGCUGACUAUCAAACAUUUCUUUCACAAUUUUUUUUUUUUUUUUUUUAUUUAGAAAAAGAAAAAAGAUAUUUCCAAAUGUGUCUCCUUUGGAAUAGAAAUGUUUGUUGAGCAAUCAUCCAGCACCAGUCAGACCUCUAUUGUGGCACCAUUUGUGAGACUCUUUUUUUUUUUUUUUGGAGCUCUAGGCCCUCUGCCACAGACUAUAAAUAACUACAGUGCUGGUUACCAAUAUCGUCCAAAACAGUAGUGGAAAGAUCUCAGAUACUUGAGCAAAUUAAACAGGACAGGGGGAUUGUUUAUGGUACGUUAUUUUUAAGUUGUGAGUUAUUCUUACUUGGGAGAAGAGAGAAGAGAGUGGAGGAAAUGCCUUUUUGACAUAAGUAUAUCUCAUUUAUAUCUCAUUUUUUUUUGUUUUACUGUGUCAAGAAAAUCCCGCAGCCGGUUCUGUCGAAUCACAGAGACACUUGUGAAAGACAAAAUGUGCUCGAUCGUCUGGGAUUUUAUGCAACCGGAGCGUUUUGUAAACCUGGAAACGUCAGUCAGAGCGGCACGGUUGACACUGAUUUGAUAUUUCACCGCCGCUGUGAGCUGUCAGUCAUUUUAUCAUGGACGUCAACCACAAUACCACAACCAAAUCUUUAGCAGGCUCUGGGAAAUCAGACUGACACUCAACUGCAGGCGGGGGGGGGUGGAGUAAAAAAAAAUACUCCCAUGUUCCCCCUAAAACCAGCUGAAAUCACUUGACGACACGCUGAGCGUAGUGAUUCGAGUGCAAAAGUGGGGGGAAUUAUGGGUAUAUAAACAUGGUGAGUGGUGGUUUUUCUGAGUUCAAAGUUUGCUAAAUUCUGUGAAUAAGAAGUGGAAACAAAGCUCGACUCCACGUUGCUCCUCAAUUAUUUUGAUGUAACCCUCCAGGAGCAAAGAAAACCGACAUUCACGCACGUUUUUACAUCAUUUCUUUAAGUAACAAAUUAGAAAAAGGCUGUUUUUUCCCCAUCGAGAGCUUAGAUUCGGACGACAUGAAUGCAUCAUCCUGCUCUCUCCUCUCCAGUCACCAUACAUUACAGUUGUUUUCUCUGGUCCGAGGCAGAGUAGAAAGGGUUUUUUUUUGUGUGUAUUUGGUUAUUUUGGGCUUCUAGUGCCCAGUUGCAAUCAGCCUGGACUUGUAAACAGAGGUCACAUGGACUCACAAACUGCUUGUUUAUUGGACGGAGUCUAAGCGACAUGUCAUCCUGCAGAGUUUGACAUUUUGGCAGAUGAGUCGAAACCUGAUUAAAAUUCUUCUUCUCUUGAAAGAGGCUUCAAUUUCCAGUCUUGUUAUCCGAUGCCACCGGUGGUCAAAUGUCGCCGCCUAAACAAAUAAACUCUGCAAACUACAGAUAAUCUGCUUUAUCCCUGCAUCGAUAAGGGAUAAGACCAUGAAUAUUGUUUCUUAAAAAUAGAUUGAGGGGCACAAAAACAAAAACUGCUUAUUAAUUUCACAUGUGACAACCAAUUCAGACAUGAUUUUGAGGUGUAGAAGAAGAGAAGGAGGCACAAAAGCAUCUAACAGACAAAUGAAGCUUAUGCUAAAAGGUAUGUUAUAAAGAUUUUGUUCAUUCAUUUAGUGCAGAGCUUUCCGAAUGUAAAUCAUGUACAUCAGUUUAAUUUCUACUACAAAUAAACAAGGAGCCAUGUUUAAAUUUGUUGAAAUUAUUAUCAAGUUCUUCACCCAAACUGCCAGUUUUUAGCAACAUAAAAACAUAAUCCUUGAACUCAAGAGCAAGACUUUCUCAUAUUUUAGAUUUGACUGAUGACUUUGAUCGAUGUUUGUUCAUUUAUUGUUCAUUUAUUGUUCCCAAAGAAUAAUAAACCUCAGUUUCACUCCUCAGUUCUCACCCUGCACUAGCUGGUAUGAACAAUAACAGACUGUGUCAGUUAUACGAGCUAAAUGAAGUAGAAAAUUAAAUGCAUUUUGUUUUUGUAUUGCACUUUCUAUUAUAAUUACAGAACUAAAAACAAUUACCUUCUUAUGGAAGAUGUUGAAAUUAUGAAAACACUUGCACACAUGAAUGCUCAGUGUGAGUAUUUGGAUAAAGUCUGCUCAUUAAGAAUAAAUGUUUUACAUGGGCGGCUUUUUAUAUUUUGCUUUUUUCUUCUGUGAAAAACAUGUUUUUUCUUGUUUUUCUUUGGAACAUGAAUGUCCAUCGCCGGAAGUUGUUAUUUAUAUUUUGUA